GAUGAAGAACGCAGCGAAAUGCGAUAAGUAAUGUGAAUUGCCGAAUUCAGUGAAUCAUCGAAUCUUUGAACGCACAUUGCGCCCCCUGGUAUUCCGGGGGGCAUGCCUGUCCGAGCGUCAUUACAACCCUCAAGCUCAGCUUGGUGUUGGGCCCCGCCGCCCCGGCGGGCCCUAAAGUCAGUGGCGGUGCCGUCCGGCUCCGAGCGUAGUAAUUCUUCUCGCUCUGGAGGUCCGGUCGUGUGCUCGCCAGCAACCCCCAAUUUUUUUCAGGUUGACCUCGGAUCAGGUAGGGAUACCCGCUGAACUUAAGCAUAUCAAUAAGCGGAGGA
rnacentral:misc_RNA from 1 species